rnacentral:rRNA from 1 species
UGGGGAAUAUUGGACAAUGGGGGGAACCCUGAUCCAGCAAUGCCGCGUGUGUGAAGAAGGCCUGAGGGUUGUAAAGCACUUUCGCUGGGGAGGAGUGGAUGCUAGGUUAAGAGCUAGGCAUUUGGACGUUACCCAGAUAAGAAGCACCGGCUAACUCCGUGCCAGCAGCCGCGGUAAUACGGAGGGUGCGAGCGUUAAUCGGAAUUACUGGGCGUAAAGGGUGCGUAGGUGGUUUGAUAAGUUAGCUGUGAAAGUCCUGGGCUUAACCUGGGAAGGUCAGCUAAGACUGUUAGACUUAGAGUAUAGGAGGGGGUAGUGGAAUUUCCGGUGUAGCGGUGAAAUGCGUAGAGAUCGGAAGGAACACCAGUGGCGAAGGCGGCUACCUGGCCUAAUACUGACACUGAGGCACGAAAGCGUGGGGAGCAAACAG